rnacentral:rRNA from 1 species
UACGAAGGGGGCGAGCGUUGUUCGGAAUCACUGGGCUUAAAGAGUACGUAGGCGGCCAUUCAAGUCAGGAGUGAAAUCCCGGGGCUCAACCCCGGAAUUGCUCUUGAAACUGGACGGCUAGUGUCCCGGAGAGGUUGGCGGAAUUCCGAGUGUAGAGGUGAAAUUCGCAGAUAUUCGGAGGAACACCAGUGGCGAAGGCGGCCAACUGGACGGGUACAGACGCUGAGGUACGAAAGCGUGGGGAUCAAACAGG